rnacentral:rRNA from 1 species
CAACGUGGUCAACCUGCCUCCGUGUGGGGAAUAACUAGCCGAAAGGUUAGCUAAUACCGCAUACGAUCGCUUUAGGGCAUCCUUGAGCGAUGAAAGGAGCAAUCCGCACGGAGAGGGGACUGCGUCCCAUUAGUUAGUUGGUGGGGUAACGGCCUACCAAGACUGCGAUGGGUAGCUGGCUUGAGAGAGCGACCAGCCACACUGGAACUGAGACACGGUCCAG